UUUCCCUUCUCUGCCCUUCUUCCCCAAAUCUCCAGCAAUUGUGGCUUAACUUGUUUGUCAGAGACUAGGCUGGAGCUGUAGAUUUGAACCCCCUCACACUGAGGAGGUCGCUGAACCGUAGUCAGCUCACCAGUUUCUGGGUGAGUGCUUUAACCACUGCUAUAAAAGAUGAGCAGCAGCAUCACCACCAUCCAUCUUUAAAAAUAAAGAGUAAUCCAGUCGUCUAGCCCUCAAGGAACAAAGUGCCUAUGAGUCAGGGAGUUUUGCUGAAUGUGGAUGUGGGUUACAUCUUAAUGCUUAACUGGAGGCUCUGUGUGCAUAGCUUAGUCCUAUAGGAAAUGUAAUUUUGGAUUAUUAACCUCUCUUCAUCAUUUCCUGGCAGAUUUGAACAUCACCUCAACUCCACAUACUUUCUGCUAAAAAUCUUUGUUUUCAGUGACAUGGGAGAUGGAGAUGCUCAGAACCUCCUGGUAAUACACUACUUUCCAGCUCCACAGCUUCAUUUUUCUGCACUUGAAGUGUUCAGCAUAAAGAUAUGACGGUCUGAGGGCUUUUUAGAAAAGAAAGAUGACAAAGUACAUUCAUACUCAAAGACUUUGAGAAAUAAACUCAUCUGUUAUGCUAUGGGAAGGGAUUUAAGGGUAUGGCCCCAAAACCUGUGCUCAGGCCAUCAGUCAAAAGCUCUGCUUCUUAUGGUAAGUUGUUUUUAAACCAAGAGUAUCUGAGAGAUGUGUAAGGAAAAUUAAGAU